rnacentral:lncRNA from 1 species
GGCUGGUCUCAAACUCCUGACCUUAAGUGAUUCGCCCGCCUGGGGCUCCUAAAGUGUUGGGAUUACUGGCAUGAACUACCGUGCUGGCCUGGAUCUCAGGCUUUGUUGAGCUGUUAACCAAGCUGUCAAUCUCCCACCCUCCUGGUUCCCCAAACUUACACCACCAUGAAAGACCCUCUGACCCCUUCCCUCUUCCCUAGCUGGGCUGGAGCUGGGGGAGGGUGUGCUGGGGCGUCCCACUUCUCAGCUUUGGGCCACGGAUAAGUCAGCUCUGGAAUUCCCCCAAGUAGAAGCAGCCCUGGACUUCCCCAGGGGCAGAGAGGAUGAGGAACAGAAUAUACAUCUUGAGGGGGGUGGGGGUCCCUUAAGCCUUGUUGGGUUGGCACAGAGCCAAGUUCCCAAACCAUCAUGAUCGAGUCCUGGGGCCAGGUGCUGCGCUGGGCCAAGAUACCCUGCCAGGUGGCCGCUAUAACGUUUCCCGUUUUACAGCUGAGAAACUGUAAGAGACGCAAUCUAGCCAAGCAAGGCGGUGGUUCACACCUCUCAUCCCAGCUACUCGGGAGGCUGAGGCAGGAGUUUUGGUGAUGGAAGACAGCCACCAGGAAACCCUGCCGAAAGAAUGGGUCAGAUCAAUAAUCUGAGCGGUCCCAGUCCUCCUCCAAUGGCUGAUGGAUGAGGAAGGAAGUCACUCUGAAAACUCAGGUUUACACAACAUCUACUUGUACAAUCAAGCACACACUCUCAGGCUGCAUGAAGUACUGUCGCAGACAGGACUGCAAACCCUCUCAGGGCCCUGGGGUUCCCCUAAACCAGACCGUGAGCCUCUUGAGACGGCGGAUCCCCAACAGUGCCCAGAACCUGGGAAGGAGCUCAUCGUUCU